AGAGUUUGAUCCUGGCUCAGGAUGAACGCUGGCGGCGUGCCUAAUACAUGCAAGUCGAGCGAACAGACGAGGAGCCUGCUCCUCUGACGUUAGCGGCGGACGGGUGAGUAACACGUGGAUAACCUACCUAUAAGACUGGGAUAACUUCGGGAAACCGGAGCUAAUACCGGAUAACAUGUUGAACCGCAUGGUUCAACAGUGAAAGACGGUCUUGCUGUCACUUAUAGAUGGAUCCGCGCUGCAUUAGCUAGUUGGUAAGGUAACGGCUUACCAAGGCAACGAUGCGUAGCCGACCUGAGAGGGUGAUCGGCCACACUGGAACUGAGACACGGUCCAGACUCCUACGGGAGGCAGCAGUAGGGAAUCUUCCGCAAUGGGCGAAAGCCUGACGGAGCAACGCCGCGUGAGUGAAGAAGGUCUUCGGAUCGUAAAACUCUGUUAUUAGGGAAGAACAAAUGUGUAAGUAACUAUGCACGUCUUGACGGUACCUAAUCAGAAAGCCACGGCUAACUACGUGCCAGCAGCCGCGGUAAUACGUAGGUGGCAAGCGUUAUCCGGAAUUAUUGGGCGUAAAGCGCGCGUAGGCGGUUUUUUAAGUCUGAUGUGAAAGCCCACGGCUCAACCGUGGAGGGUCAUUGGAAACUGGAAAACUUGAGUGCAGAAGAGGAAAGUGGAAUUCCAUGUGUAGCGGUGAAAUGCGCAGAGAUAUGGAGGAACACCAGUGGCGAAGGCGACUUUCUGGUCUGUAACUGACGCUGAUGUGCGAAAGCGUGGGGAUCAAACAGGAUUAGAUACCCUGGUAGUCCACGCCGUAAACGAUGAGUGCUAAGUGUUAGGGGGUUUCCGCCCCUUAGUGCUGCAGCUAACGCAUUAAGCACUCCGCCUGGGGAGUACGACCGCAAGGUUGAAACUCAAAGGAAUUGACGG
rnacentral:rRNA from 1 species